rnacentral:rRNA from 1 species
UACGAAGGGUGCUAGCGUUGUUCGGAGUUACUGGGCGUAAAGAGUGCGUAGGCGGUCCUGUAAGUUUGGUGUGAAAUCUCCCGGCUCAACUGGGAGGGUGCGCCGAAGACUGCAGGGCUUGAGUAUGGGAGAGGUAAGCGGAAUUCCUGGUGUAGCGGUGGAAUGCGUAGAUAUCUGGAGGAACACCGGUGGCGAAGGCGGCAUCCUGGACCGGCAUUGACGCUGAGGAGCGAAAGCCAGGGGAGCAAACGGG